CACCGUGUCCUGGAGAGAAAACAUCAUGUGUGGCUUCCUUACUCUGAAAUUAGGCAGAGAGAAGGAAGCGUAUGGGUGGUAGGGGAUGGAAAGCCUCUGUGUGUAAAGCCUUGAAAAAGACCUAAAACAAACAAACAAACAAAAAAAAUUAAAAAACAAAACAAAAAAGUCCCAAAGAAAACGCCAAGCAAAAAAGAGAGGAUUUGGUUAUCUGGAGCCCCUCUGCUCUGGAGCCAGGCUGGCAGAGCUGGGGGUGCUCACCUGCAGAGGAGAAGGCUCCAGGGACACCUCAGAGCCCCUGCCAGGGCCUAAAGGGGCUCCAGGAGAGCUGCAGAGGGACUGGGGACAAGGCAUGGAGGGACAGGACACAGGGAAUGGCUCCCACUGCCAGAGGGCAGGGCUGGAUGGGAUAUUGGGAAUUAGGAAUUGUUCCCUGGGAGGGUGGGCAGGCCCUGGCACAGGGUGCCCAGAGCAGCUGUGGCUGCCCCUGGAUCCCUGGCAGUGCCCAAGGCCAGGCUGGGCAGGGCUUGGAGCAGCCUGGGACAGUGGGAGGUGUCCCUGCCAUGGCAGGCGUGGAGCGAGAUGAGCUUUAAGGUUCCUCCCAAGCUAUUCCAUAAAAAGGGCUAUGAAGGCACCCAGGGGCUGCAGAGUGGGGGUCUCUGGAAGACCCCAGCCCUACUGGUCAGUGCUUCUCCAGGAUUUCAAGUCUGGGAGUUGGUUGGGGCAUUAUUUUUAGGAAUCAUUGAGACUGAAGCAGAGAGGAGAACAGGAAACCCUGGUCUGCCAUGUCUCCAUCCACAGGGGAUUCUGCUCCAACUGCUGUGUGUGCUGAGAUCCCCUUAACUCAAAAUUGAUAUGUGACUUUGCACAGAAAAAGCCAGAGGGGGAGGUGGGCAUCAAGGAUAAUUAAAUAAAUGGAGUAGCUUUCACCCAGGGAACAACUAUACAGGCUGGGAUGCUUGAUCCAGGGCAGGAAAUGGCAAGUGAAUAAGACAGAAAGCAGAAGAAAUUAAUUUUUCCCCAGGUCAGAGAAGUCUGCAUGGAUCUUCAUGAGGACAGUGGGAGAUUUCUGGUUCUAUGAGAUAAAUCUCUGAAACAAAGAUUAUCUUCUCCUGGAGCCCAGGGUAGGAUUUGCAGACCUGGUUACUGGAAACCCACCAAGACCAUGGGGUUUUCUGCCCUCAAAAGCAACUGAAAUGUUUUGACCAAAAUUCCCUAUUUUUCCCAUGUUUUCACUGUGAUUGUGCCCCCAGAAGAGAGCAUUUCAUCUGCUGUGGGUAAUGUGUGACAGUGCUGUAAGCAAAGAAAAAUUGUGUCCUGUAAAGCGCAGUGUCUUGAAAUUUUGAUCACAGAGGAUCAGCCUCAUUUUUAAUUACAAAUAUACACAGAUUUGUACAAUUACACAUCCCAGCUGGCUCUGAGGGCAAGUGCUCAAGGUUGCCCCUCUUUUCCUGAAAGCACUGGCAAUUUACUUGUGGGAAAACUUAUUUUAUAUCCUUGGGAAAAUAUAAGGGUGUUGCUGUUGCCCUCUGAGAUGUUUUUAGGUCCUGCCCACGCCAGGAAUGGCCACAGAGCUUUUGCAUCAGCAGGCAAAGGAGCAAGCACUGAAAUAUCAGGGAAGGAAAGGGAGGAAUGGCUUCAUUCUCACAGAUUCCUGCAUAAAAUAGGGGCUAAAGCACGUCUUCAAAAUGAUUGAGCGAGGACACUGCUCAUUACAUAAGGUUGUUGGGGGGAAAAAAAUAGGCUGAUUUACAUUUUUAUAGGAAAUAAAAGGAGGUUUGUGGGUGACAUAGCACCUUCCUCUGAGAAUGUCAGCAUGAGAUAAGUGGGCUUCAAAGGGAAGAGUAACCAUUUUCCUGCAGGGACAGAGUCCAUCCAGAGAGCUGAGUCUGGGAGAAAAAUGCUUUUUGAAGGAAAUUUUUGUUGCCGUUACAAAUACGUUUAUUUAGCACAAUUCACAUUGACUGCGAGGCUGCUACUUCUCCUUUCUGCUGGUUCCUCUGAAUUUUGGUGAAGCUUUAGGUAGCAGGAAAACCAAACUGCCUCUGUUUUGUGGAUGUGGUGUUUUCAGGGCAGGAGGAGAGGUCGAUGUGCUUUUUAGGAGUGGGGGGAUUUUGUCAGGGCUGGAGUUCAGUGAUACUUUAAUUUCAUUCACAGCGAGUCGCCUGGUGGGGUUUUACCCUGGUUUCAGGUUGGUGGCCCUCUGAGAUUUGCUGUGCUGUGCUUCAGAUCCGUGGCUGUCUGGCAGAACAAUUCCGGUUGCUCAAAAGCACCGAUUAGCAUAAAUGAAGGAGUGGGUGAAAUGUUCAUUAUAUUGCCUACUGUCAUGUUUGUGUACCAGAUUUUGUUACCAUCUGUCAUUUCUGUUUUCUUGUUGUUGCCAAAAGUUGUCAUUCUGAAUGGAGGGUGGAGACUUAUCUUCAAAAGCCAACAUGAGAUAAUUUUAGGUACUUCAGGGCUCAUGUGCUCCGUGCUGGGUGUCAGUGGCCCUCAUGUACAUCAGCCCCACGUGUCUUUGGUAAAAUCUGGGCAAUGGUUUAGUUAAAGGAGUUUUUGAAACCAUUGGGGUCAUGCAAAUGCACAAGAUUCUCAUCUCUUGUAAUUUAAAAAGAGUGUCCAGUCCUUGCAAUUGAAAAGAAAAGCUUGAAAAUAAAAUACGUUUUCCUUAAUCUUAAAAAAAAAAUAAAAAAUACAGGGUACAGAGAAGGGUGCAUGUGGGGACACGGCAGUGUUAAAGUCCAAGGAGCUGCCCAGAGAUCUGACUGAGGGAAGCAACAGCUCUGCUAUAACGGACUGCAGCACCCCCAGACCAUUUCCAGAGAUGUAAAUAUCCCAGGGACUGAAGCUGGACAAAUUCAACCUUGAGAUGAGCCGCAGCUCUCUUGCAGGAGCGGUGGCUGCGUGCUGCGACAGCGCGCGAGGGGAGCAGUGCCUGCACUGGGGCCUGCAGCCUCUCCAGCAGAAUUAGCUCAUUGCAACCACACAGCUUUAGUGCAGGGACUGGGAGGAAGGGCUCAGCCUGCAAGCAGGGGGCUGGGGGGUGAAGCCUUGAGGAUUUCUUGUCUUGUCCAAGUGUUUUGUGAUCAUCCGGUCUGGAUCAUCCUCCUUCCAUCGGGCUGGAGCACCAGGUGCUGCUGUGAACUGUCAAAUCCUCCCUGGCAGUGCCAGGCCCAUGCUGGCAACUCGUCACCUCCCAUGUCAGCCCACAGCAGCUCUGCUCUCCCCAGGGUUGCUGGGUUUUCAUCUGGCCUGAGUGACAGGGCUCAAUGUUCACCUGAAAUGCAGUGACUUGUGACAUCCAAAAAUGCAGAAAAGAUGAUCUAAUUACUUCAACUGGACUUAAACUCCAGGAAAAUAUAAAGCCAGACAGUUUGGGGAUUUUUUUUUGUUAGUUUGGGCUCAGCCAGUGGUGCAAAGUCAUAACCAAAGCCAUGAUGUGCCAGUGUUGUGGUGAGAACUCUCACUGGUGUGGGAGUGCAGAGGGUCACUGCUUCCUCCAGGAGAGCUGGGGAAGGAGGAGAUGGAGCUGCCUUUGCUCUGGAAGCAGCAGAGAUCACUCUAGACAUCUCUGAUCAAAGGCUUGGGGGUGACCAGGACCAUGCAAUGACUGCAGUAAUUAAUGGGUACUUCUUCAAAGAUGUCUCAGGUAUCUCUGUUUUGUGUUGUGAUCUGUAUUAUGCACCUUCCAGUGCCUAAAGGGGCUCCAGGAGAGCUGGAGAGGGACUUUAGACGAGAGUCUGGAGUCACAGGACAAGGUUUCCCACUGCCAGAGGGAUAUUGGGAAGAAAUUUUUCUCUGUGAAGCUGGUCAGGCCCAGGCACAGGGUGCCCAGAGCAGCUGUGGCUGCCCCUGGAUCCCUGGAAGUGCCCAAGGCCAGGUUGGACAGGACUUGGAGCACCCUGGGGUAGUGGAAAGUGUCCCUGCCCAUGGCAGGGAGUGGAACAAUAUGGGCUUUAAGGUCCCUUCCAACCCCAACCAGUCUGUGAUUCUAUGAAAGCCCUGUAUUUUAUCAAAUCUUUGGAUUCUUUUAUAAUACAGAUUUGAGGUAACAGCUCUGUCAUGUUUUAACACUUCAAUAACGUAAAUUGUCUUUCCUAGCUCAAAUUCUCCCAUAUUUGCUCUCUCCCAGAGGAUAAUUCUACAAAGCUCAUGAGCAAAUUCCACACAAGCCUUUCAGGAUGCUGUGAACAUCACUGACAGCCGUUGUGAAAAAGUUGGGUCUGGGUUUGUUUCACAAGUGUGAAAUAAUUUUCAGAGCUCUCAUAUUCAAACCAGCCUGGUAAAUUGCCCUAAAUGAGCACGAAGUGUCAUCUUGUGUGGAUGACAGAGGAAGCUGGAAUGCAGCUGAGAAGCCUUUGGACAAGCAGGAAGAAGUGGGCUUGGGCCAUGGGGAGUGGAGCUGACCUGGCAGAGGAGCCAAAUGGGCUGAUUGAGCAGAUGUGACCACACACGGGAUGUGGAGGAGCUGGGCAUUGAGAUGAGGUGCAGUAGUUUGUCAGGCCCUGCUCCAGGGUGACAAUGAUGGGACCUCCAGGCUGGGUGACUGACAGCUGAUCUGGCUCCACUUCCCUGGUCAGCACAAGGCUGGGAUAAGCUGAUACAGGGUGGAAGAAAAGCAGAAAAAAAAGGGAAUUUCUCAUCUUAACACCUAAUGUGCUGCUGGCUUAAGACAGGAAGAGAAGCGACCUCGGCUGAUCUAAGAGGGAAGCACAGAGCACAUCGACAGCCAAGCCAUGAAACUCCACAGCACAGGAAUGAACCAUUCAUGGAAUUAACCAUCGUGCCCAAGGUGGACAGCCUGGGGUGAAAAGUUAAUCCUGAUAUAAUUAGAGACAGCCAUGAACAGCAAAAUCGUGGAGUCACAGGUCACAGGGUGAGAUGCCACCAAGACCUUGCAGUGUGUCAAGUCUUGCAGGAAUGGGACAGGAGUGUAACAGAAAUCAUCUGCUCAUGCUUCAAAGGAGGGAGCAAUAUCCUGAGAGAGCUGGGGAAGGUUUUUCUGUCCACCAAUCAAGUGUUUGGCCUUGAGGAACUCAGGCAAGAAUAUCAUGUCCAACAAAGGAUACAAAACCCAAACAAAUUAAAAUGCAUCUGGACUGAUGUGCAGUUCCCUGUAGGCACUGGAAGACCUUGUCUCUGUGAUGCCAUCAAGGAAUGAGCAGAGGACAGAAAUGACAUGGGAGAAAUCUGGAGACACCUUUCAAGGGAUGAGGAAUCAUCCAACCCCUCUGGUUUGAAGAUGCUGACAGGCCACUGCUCUGAGCUGUGUGGAGGGAGCAGAAUGAAUGGAGGGAAGCACGAGCCCUGGUGGGAAGGUCUUGCUCCAAGAUAAAGGUUCAGGCAAGAGGUGGAACCUGUGUGAAUUUGGCAGAGGGGAGUGUGAGCAGUGCUCACUCCUGAGCUCACAGCUCAGCACCCAAGCUCAGACUGAGCAUCUGGGAUUCAGCUCACACCAAGCUGUGAGUGGCAGCACCUGAAGAGCUUGUGAAUGCUCUCUCCUGCUGGUGGUGCAAUGGGAAGGCCACAUCUUUAACAACCAGGGGACAAGGCAGGGAGGGGGGAAACACUGAAAUCUUCCCAUCUCAAGUGGCCAGAGUGUAUCUAUGGGCAUCCCAGCUUUCUCUGUGCUCAGGGAAGAGAUCUUUCACCAUAAUCUGCAGCGGAAAAAAUGUUCUGUGUCUUUUUUUUGGCCUAUGUUGGCUGAAACCGCCCAUAAACCACUAAUUGCCACUGCUAAAAGGGAGCUGGCAGACAUGAAAUUUGCCCAGAUUACCCAGAUUACUAUUUUAUGGGUAGAAAUAUGAUUUCAAACUGACUGCGGGACAGGUUGCAAACUGGUGUCAGAGAGAUGAGAAACCAAAAUGUAGCAGAGCCCAAAGACAGACAUUUUUUUGUGGCAGUUUACUUUAAAAAUAAAGCAAAUGGACUGCUGUGUCGCAGACAAAGUCUGAGAUUGUCGAGCAACAACCCUGAGUGAGAGCACAAAGAUUUAUACAGGUUUUUCUUAAGAGUUUGUCAGGCAUGGCAAAGUUACAGGCUUCACAUCUGGGACUUAAGAAAGAAGGACCCCUCAGAGUGACAGAUUCAAUUAUGCUGAUGACAGAAGACUCUGUUUUUCUUGAACUGCUACUCUUGCUUUUGUGAGAUAGCCUUACAUAUUACUUGGGGGAUUCCUCCACAUCAGAGUUAGAUGGUCCUGACAGACGAUGGGCAAGAUUCUGAGCAAUUUGCUGAAAAGCCCAAGUCUGCAUCCAGUCCCCACGGGACUCUAUUCAACAAGUAGGUAGGAAAUGGCUUUACAUGAAUGAAUACUUAAUGAAAAGGAGAGCAGAAUCAGAUCUGAUUGGUGCUUGUGGGGUAUCGCCCACAGAACAUGUUUAGCCACCUGCAAAUACUCCUUCUGCAUGAAAUGAAGCAAGGAGACCCUUUGGGACGUGUGUCAAGCUCUGUAGCCCAAGGAGCCAAGGGUUUGCAGAAGUUCACAGACACCCAGCUAAACACCAAACAGUGCUGUGAUUGCGGUCCCUGGGUUACCACCACUUCCUGAACACCACGGAAUUCACACACACAAUGAAAAUCAGAAGCCAGAAACAGCAGUUAUUUCACAUAAAAUUGCUCCACAAUCCCAUGAGUACAGGGUGUGUGUAACCAGACAUGCCUGGAGAAAGAAUAGGCAGCACCUUCUGCAGCAGCCAGAAGGAGAAGAGGCAACAGGCUCUGAGCUUCUCUUCUAUCCUGGAAGAGCUUUGGCAGCACAUGGGGAGGGUAAGGCCACCAGGUGCUGGGACAUAACAUCACCAGGAAAAACAGACUCCCAUUCCCAAUGAGAACUCCUCUGGUGGUGCCACAAUGACUACAAGUUACAGGGCAGAGCUCCUCAGAUGUUAUUCAAACACUGCUAAUUGUUUGGCUGUAAGGUUUUGAGGUCACAAGCUAUAGAAAUGAUACUUCCAUGGUUUGGGUGGGGAAGGGAGGUAGGACCUCAGGAACUGUGUCUUUAAGCAGCUUAGUUCUGGAGACAGGAAGUCUGGCGAUGGGCUGCAGCAGUGCAGAUUUUAUUAUGCAAUUUCUCUUGGAACUAGUCCCUGAAUAAAGGAGUUAUCCAUUAAGCACCUGCUUCACCCUCCCUCCUGAGCACCACAAACAAAGGUCUCAGGAAUCCUUUCAAGAGCUUACCCAUCAGUGGGGAAGCAGGGAGCCAUGCACUGGGGUCCAGACUGGCAAUAUUGACAUAUUUGAUUUAUAGUGUCUUUCAAAGGGUUUCUCUUCAUUAAAUCCUCUUAUUCUGUUUG